UCUGUUUUCUGGCAGGUUCCAUAAGGCAGGGGCUCAGUGGGUCAGACUCCCAGGGUGCUGUCGUGUUCAUUAGGUACUGAGGAUGGUUUUGUGGGAGAAAUCCCUGCAGAGCUUCAGAGGGAGGGAAUCAAGGACAGUCUUGUAGCGAUCACACAUGAUACUGGGACUUACAGAUGUUUAGGGUGGGGACGUGGGGCGUCCCUGGCCUGGACAUAGGAACCUGUGGGGAGCCAGCCAAUAAUUAAAUCAUAAGACUUCUGGGAGAAAGAAACUCUUGUGUGCUUUCCUGUUACCAGCUCGGAACAUAUGGCGGUUAGAGCUCCUUGCCAAAAUAAGCAUAUCUGUGUGAAAACACCCUGCUUUGAUCUAACUGCAGCUGCAUACGCCUCCCUUUUGUUCCUGUGCAGCUGCAUGCCCCUCCCUUUUCCUGUUUCUUACCCGAUAAAACCCCACGUAUCUCAAGAAUAAACGAGACUUGAUCAGAACACUGUCUUGUCUCCUUUUCUCGUGUCUCUUGUCCCAUCCACUCCCACUCCCCUCCUCAGGUCCACGUUGACUUACCCGCGGGUCGGGACAAGUGGCGCCCAACGUGGGGCCCGAGUAUGGGGGACGCCGUGAGGAACGCUGUGCAGCGUGUCGGCCGACGAAGCAUAUAGAGGCAGGAGGACAUCCACCCGGUGCUCGCCUGAACCUCGAGUGAUGACAGACUGUGAACCCUGGCUCUUAACCACAGCCUUAGUCAUUGCCUUCAUCUCAGGCAUCGGGCUUGCCGCCUCCACCCCUCCCCAGUGGACCCUUGUACAGCAGACUAUUCUUGUUACCACUUACUGGAUCCUUGUUGGCAUCUUUGCACUUCUUAACUGCACCUUAUAAAGGGAUGAAGCCCAUCAACUCUCGCGUUUUCACCUUCUUCGCACUAUUUCAGGUACUCUACAAGAUCUUCAAGACCAAAUCGAUUCACUAGCAGAAGUAGUCCUACAAAACAGGCGUGGCCUAGAUCUAGUUACCGCUGAACAAGGCGGAAUCUGCUUAGCCCUAAAAGAAAAGUGUUGUUUUUAUGCUAAUAAAUCCGGAAUAGUUCGAGACAAAAUUAAGAAGCUACAAGAAGACCUUAUAAAAAGGAAAAAAGAAUUGUUUGAGAACCCCCUGUGGACUGGGUUAAAUGGGCUCCUCCCCUACCUUCUCCCCAUACUAGGACCCUUGUCAGCUUGCUUCUCCUCCUAUCUCUUGGCCCUUUUUUGUUCCAGAAGCUUAUGUCCUUUGUAAAAAAUAAGUAAACGCAAUCCUGGCUCACCCCAUUCAAGUCCAUUAUCACCGCCUAGAACAAGAAGAAAAUGCGUGUAUGUUCUCCACAUGAGCUUGUGCCAUACAAUAUGGUGCCACCUUCCUGCGCAUUACUACACAACCUAAGACAGGCGCAAGACCUAACUGUCUUGGCAGCCAAUGACGGGUAAGAUGUAGUAGAUGCCAGUAUAUUGCUCUGCAAGUGAUCUCACGACUGGUUAGCCAAAGAUGGGUAAGAUUCCUAGAGGAAGGAACAACCUAAGACAGGCACAGUCGCAUGGAGGUCCCAUCACGCAGUCUCUUCUCCUUUUUAAUUUUAAAUAAAGAAGGGGGACCUAUGGGGAGCUGGCCAAUAAUUAAAUCAUAAGACUUCUGGGAGAAAGAAACUCUUGUGUGCUUUCCUGUUACCAGCUCGGAACAUAUGGCAGUUAGAGCUCCUUGCCAAAAUAAGCAUAUCUGUGUGAAAACACCCUGCUUUGAUCUAACUGCAGCUGCAUACGCCUCCCUUUUGUUCCUGUGCAGCUGCAUGCCCCUCCCUUUUCCUGUUUCUUACCCGAUAAAACCCCACGUAUCUCAAGAAUAAAUGAGACUU